rnacentral:rRNA from 1 species
ACGAACGCUGGCGGCAGGCAUAACACAUGCAAGUCGAGCGCACCCUUCGGGGUGAGCGGCGGACGGGUUAGUAACGCGUGGGAAUAUACCCAGUUCUAAGGAAUAGCCUCUGGAAACGGAGAGUAAUACCUUAUACGCCCUUCGGGGGAAAGAUUUAUCGGAAUUGGAUUAGCCCGCGUUAGAUUAGAUAGUUGGUGGGGUAAUGGCCUACCAAGUCGACGAUCUAUAGCUGGUUUGAGAGGAUGAUCAGCAACACUGGGAUUGAGACACGGCCCAGACUCCUACGGGAGGCAGCAGUGGGGAAUCUUAGACAAUGGGCGCAAGCCUGAUCUAGCCAUGCCGCGUGAGUGAUGAAGGCCUUAGGGUCGUAAAGCUCUUUCGCCAGGGAUGAUAAUGACAGUACCUGGUAAAGAAACCCCGGCUAACUCCGUGCCAGCAGCCGCGGUAAUACGGAGGGGGUGCGCGUUGUUUGGAAUUACUGGGCGUAAAGCGCGCGUAGGCGGACCAGUCAGUCAGAGGUGAAAUCCCGGGGCUCAACCCCGGAACUGCCUUUGAUACUGCUGGUCUUGAGUUCGAGAGAGGUGAGUGGAAUUCCGAGCGUAGAGGUGAAAUUCGUAGAUAUUCGGAGGAACACCAGUGGCGAAGGCGGCUCACUGGCUCGAUACUGACGCUGAGGUGCGAAAGCGUGGGGAGCAAACACGAUUAGAUACCCCGGUAGUCCACGCCGUAAACGAUGGAUGCUAGGCGUCGGCAAGCAUG